UACGGAGGGGGCUAGCGUUGUUCGGAAUUACUGGGCGUAAAGCGCGCGCAGGCGGCCUCGCGCGCCGACGUGAAAGCCCCCCGGCUUAACCGGGGAGGGUCGUUGGGGACGGCGGGGCUUGAGGGCGGGAGAGGGUGGUGGAAUUCCCGGUGUAGUGGUGAAAUGCGUAGAGAUCGGGAGGAACACCCGUGGCGAAGGCGGCCACCUGGGCCGACCCUG
rnacentral:rRNA from 1 species